CGGCCAGGCCGCGUUGCUGUAGAGCAACAGGCACCGGCGCCAGGAGGAUUUCCUGCCUACAUCCUUUGAAACUGAGACCCGCUCUAGUUCUGCAGCCUGCUAGCACAAACUGCUGCACGCAGGGAGGCUGCAGGUCCGCUUGGGUGCAAGGCUCCCACGGCCACAGGAAAUUGGGAUUUGUGCCGGCUUUAACUCAUCUGUGUGAGUAAGAGUGUCUGGGCAGUUGCCUGUCCCCUGUGAACGAACCCUG